GCCUCUAUCUUUAGCCAUUGUGACACGUGACAUCACGAUGAUGGCAAACUCGGAGGAAUCGCGAGAUUCUGCUGGUCCGAAGCUUAGGUAUUUCCCUCCGAUCUUUGGGGUUGGUGUUCGAUCUAGAUCCAAAAAAAAUUUUUCUUGGAUUUACGUUAGGAGUUUUGAGAUUUCAUAGUGAUCUGGUCUAUUAUUUAGAAUUCUCUUUAUUCGACUGGUUUAAAUUAGGGGUUUUAGUCCUUAUUAGUAGUCAUUUCUUUUUUCUUCUUGAUUUUGCUCUGAUUUAUGGGUUCAAUGGUACUAACCUAUGGAUGUUCGAUCUGGCUCUCAGAUGAUCAUUGUUCACCUGUGAUUUAUUUAAUAAAUAGUAUCUUGCAUGUGUCAUUUAUAUAUUAUCUCAUUUAUACAUCAAUUUGCUGGUUUUUUCUUGGAUUUACGUUAGGGUUCCUGGGAUCUCAUAGUGAUCUGAUCUUUGUUCAGCUGGUUUAAAUUAGGGAUUUUAGUCCUUCUUCAUUUUGCUCUGAUUUAUGGGUUCAAUGGCCGAUUUUUCUGAUGUUGUAAUUCAGGGUAUAAGGUACUGAUUUUUGAUAUUUUAGGAUUUUUUUUUUUCUAUUUUUUAUGCUGAAUGUCUGAAUGGUUAUAAUGAUAUGCAUCUCA
rnacentral:lncRNA from 1 species